rnacentral:rRNA from 1 species
UACGAAGGGGGCUAGCGUUGUUCGGAAUCACUGGGCGUAAAGGGCGCGUAGGCGGCUAUUCAAGUCGGGGGUGAAAUCCCGUGGCUCAACCACGGAAUGGCCUUCGAUACUGGACGGCUCGAGACCGGAAGAGGUGAGUGGAACUGCGAGUGUAGAGGUGAAAUUCGUAGAUAUUCGCAAGAACACCAGUGGCGAAGGCGGCUCACUGGCCCGGUUCUGACGCUGAGGCGCGAAAGCGUGGGGAGCAAACAGG